UGAACAGCGGUUACUGUGACCAUUGGCCAC
rnacentral:piRNA from 1 species